CACCCGCCCCCCACCCCCACGCACACACACAGAGCUGUGACGCUCUAGAGACUCAGGUUAGCCUGGCUGGUCAGGGACAUGGAGGUCACUGCAGGGGGACAAUGGGUUCAUUUGGGGAAAUCCACCUUCCCUCCCAACACGGCUGUCAGGAGGAAGGGCUCAGCACCUCCGCCCCCGCCCGGCUCCCCCUGGUCUCCUCCCACCUGCCACCUGGAGGCACCGCACCACAGGAGUGAGUCUGGCCACAGCGAGACACGCAGGCAGAGCCCCAUGGAAAGACACACUGGUGCGCGUAAUCCAGGGAAGAGGCAAACCCUGCUCCUGUUGUCAUGGCAACCCAACUCGCCUGCGCAAGGGCUUUAAUUGGAAGCGCUUAUUUGGCUGAAACCCCGGGAAUAAUCAACAGGAGAUUAGAAACAUUAAAAACCAGCAGGACUCAGGAAGCAUUUUGGAGGGGAUGGUGACAGAAAGGACAGUCCCCCUGGAAACCAUCGAUGGCAAUAAUAACAACCGUUACAUCUACUGAGUGACAUGCCACACCAGGCCUGUGCUGAGCCCCUGCGUGUGUUAGUCACCGAAUGCUUUCAAAAACCCUUAGGAUGCUUCUCCUAUUUUGCAGACAGGGAACUUUCUGAAACUCAGAGAGGUUAAGGAAGUGGCCCAAGACUGCACAGGACUUAAAGCCAGCUUGGGUGACUCCGGAAGCCACCAUGGAUUACGAGCACCCUGCUAUGCCUCUCACGUCUCCGAGAGGCUCGAGCACCCGCCCCUGGACCUGUACAGCUGGCUGCUCCUCCUAGGUGGCUGACACGCCAUGGACCCCAGCCUCACCCUCACCAGUGGCUCCCGUGUCAGCCUUGACCUCCAAGGCACCAGCCAAUGCUGCCUCCCGGCUGUCCCUGACUGCCUGCCCUUGGCCAGCAUUUGUUUUCUCUGCUCUGCCACCAGUGUCCACCCUCAAGCCCGCCGUGGGCCUGGUGACCCCUGGUGGCAACAAUGGGGCACUGCACCAAGGCGCAGGUUAUUCCCAGACAGACCCCAAAGAGGGAAGGGGCUGGUUCAGAAAACUCCCUGGGAAGAUCCCCGACUCUGGAAGGCUCCUGGGGGUGCCACAGCCAACGGGAGGGCAGCGUGGCCAGCACCCAGCAGCUGGCAGGAGAGCACGGUUCUGGGCAAAGCUCCUGGAAGUCCUCCCAGUGUGUCCUCCCUUUUCUGCUGAGGCAGGGGAGGCUAAUUAUCACCGAGGGACCUGCUGGGCACAGGACACUGCCACCAACCACAAGGGACUGGCUGAGGCCCACUGUUCCCAGAGCCCAGUGAGCAAGCCCAGCAGGCAAAGGCCCUGGCAAGGUCCUGGAUUGAAGGGCCAUGCCCAGGCCCUGACCACCAUGACGGCAGCUGGACCAUGGGGUCUCCCCCAGAGUGCAUGCUGGUGGCCUCCAUGUAGGGCUUCCUGAGCACCCAUCACACCAGAUGCCAGGCUCCAGCUCGGCUGGCUGCAGCUUCCGUGAGUAGAGCCACUGCACCCGGGGCACCAGCCGGUGCAGAACGGAGCCUCCACAACGGUGGGCUGCAAGAGGGUAUUUUUACCCCAACGUUUAUCCACUGAGCAAUUGAAAUUACUUUUUUUAAAGCAACUGGCAUUUACUCAGUUGGCGUCUUAUUAAAUCCCCCUCCUUGAACCACUUGAAUAUGCAAGUCACCGUUGUUCCAAGUAAGAGGACUUACAAUUCAAACAGUGAGGGGAACGCAUGUGACGUGACCUACACCCCCAGAAGCCAGAACAGAAGGGCUGGGAGGAGGGAGGAGGUGAGGGCCGCAUCUGCGAGACUGUCCAUCAGCGCCCAGAGGCACCAGCUUGCUCCUCUUGACCCUGGGCUGCAGCCCAGGUGGAGGCCAGCAGAGCAGCCCCAGGUCAGAGGUGGCUAGGGGGCUCCAGGGGCCACACUGCCUGCCAUCCAGCCAUGGCAGGGCAGCCUCAGGGUCAGAUCCAGACCUUUAAACGUCUAAUAUCCCUCAGAC
rnacentral:lncRNA from 1 species